CUCGAAGAUCGGGAAUAGGAGUAUAUCGAACUCCUAGUACUGAUCAGAGUAAGCUGUAGAUAACUGGUUCCAUCGGGGAUUUCCAUUGGAUUGCGUCUUCCAAACUAUAGGUUCACAGCUCUUUACUUCUAGUUAUUGUGGGCCCACUUGAUAUUGUAAAUUUAAUAGUUUAUUGUGCUACAGUAUGAAUGAAUUUAUUUUGUUUUUACGUUACAAAAGUAUUUACGCAUAACUCUAAAAUUUCUGUUUAUAAGAGAAUAAAAUAUUUUAUUGAAUAUUUUGUUUUA